rnacentral:rRNA from 1 species
GCGACCCCAGGAUGGGCGGGGUCACCCGUCGAGUUUAAGCAUAUCAAUAAGCGGAGGAAA